UCAGCUUCCUCUUCCUCUGGGAGGCAGACGCUGAUGAGAGCCCUCAGGAUGCUGCUGCUCCCACUCCUGGCCCUGGCUGCAGCCUGGUCUCAUGGGCAAGCACAAGUGUUUCUGAGGCAGAGACAAGCAUCCAUUACCAGAGAGCCAACUAAAACUGCACAGAUUGAGUGUGUAUUUGAGGGCAUGUCAGGGGCUGACUUCCAGACUCUCUAUGUACAUUGGUACCGGCAUCUACCCUCCAGACCUCCCGAAUGGAUUCUGCUUAUCCAAACAGGUCAAAUUCAUUAUGAGAAUGAUUCCUAUAAGAACAAGUAUUCCUCUUCGAAAAAAAGCCCAAACAUCUGCACUUUCACCAUCAAUUACAUCAACCCCAACGAUGAAGGCACCUACUACUGUGCCUACUGGCAGGACCACAGAACUAGCAAACCUCAGGUAGCCUGUACACAAAGCUGUACCCCAAGUGGCAGGCUGUCAAGUGCAGAGAGCCACACCUGCACCUUCCUGCCUCUAAAGCAUCCCAACAGGUUUAUGCUGAGUGUGUAAGUACAAGUAAAGGACAAAGAGAAAAGCAAAGAAAUGCAGCGUGCUACAGCUCAGCUGGCAUCAUGUUCUGUGCUGGGGAAAAGGAGCUCUCCUUAGGGUGAUGGUACUACAGCUGAAUUGUACAGUAACACAAAUCAACUUUGCAUAAUACAGAUACUUCCCUGAGGUACCAAAAAUGUUACCAAAGCAGGCAGAGUAUUCUAGGAAAGGCUUCUGGGACAGCUUUAGAGUAUUCAAGGGGAGAAGAACAUCCUUGGGAAGAGCUGGGCUGAACAAUUUGAGUUUUUAUGUGUGUGCUCAGCAGGUAAG